rnacentral:rRNA from 1 species
CCUUGGGUCCGGCAUAACCCCGGGAAACUGGGGAUAAUUCCGGAUAACGCACAUAUGCUGGAAUGCUUUAUGCGUCAAAUGGAUUCGUCUGCCCAAGGAUGGGUCUGCGGCCUAUCAGGUAGUAGUGGGUGUAAUGUACCUACUAGCCGACGACGGGUACGGGUUGUGAGAGCAAGAGCCCGGAGAUGGAUUCUGAGACAUGAAUCCAGGCCCUACGGGGCGCAGCAGGCGCGAAAACUUUACAAUGCGGGAAACCGUGAUAAGGGGACACCGAGUGCCAGCAUCAUAUGCUGGCUGUCCGGGUGUGUAAAAUACACCUGUUAGCAAGGGCCGGGCAAGACCGGUGCCAGCCGCCGCGGUAACACCGGCGGCCCGAGUGGUGAUCGUGAUUAUUGGGUCUAAAGGGUCCGUAGCCGGUUUGGUCAGUCCUCCGGGAAAUCUGACGGCUUAACCGUUAGGCUUUCGGAGGAUACUGCCAGGCUUGGAACCGGGAGAGGUAAGAGGUACUACAGGGGUAGGAGUGAAAUCUUGUAAUCCCUGUGGGACCACCUGUGGC